rnacentral:lncRNA from 1 species
AUGCCCGCCUCUUCACGGGUAGGUCAAUUUCACUGGUUGAAAGUAAGAGACAGCUGAACCCUCGUGGAGCCAUUCAUACAAGUCCCUAUUUAAGGAACAAGUGAUUAUGCUACCUUUGCACGGUUAGGGUACCGCGGCCGUUAAACAUAUGUCACCGGGCAGGCGGUGCCUCUAAUACUGAUAAUGCUAGAGGUGAUGUUUUUGGUAAACAGGCGGGGUAAGAUUUGCCGAGUUCCUUUUACUUUUUUUAACCUUUCCUUGUGGGCAUGCCUGUGUUGGGUUAACAGUGAGGGUAAUAAUGGCUUGUUGGUUGAUUGUAGAUAUUGGGUAAAUUUAAAGUUGAACUAAGAUUCUAUCUUGGACAACCAGCUAUCACCAGGCUCGAUAGGUUUGUCGCCUCUACCUAUAAAUCUUCCCACUAUUUUGCUACAUAGACGGGUGUGCUCUUUUAGCUGUUCUUAGGUAGCUCGUCUGGUUUCGGGGGCCUUAGCUUUGGUUCUCUUUGCAAAGUUAUUUCUAGUUAAUUCAUUAUGCAAAAGGUACAGGGGUUAGUCCUUGCUGUAUUAUGCUUGGUUAUAAUUUUUCAUCUUUCCCUUGCGGUACUAUAUCUAUUGCGCC